GACAGAGGUGCCGAGCGUUAGGCGGAAUCACUGGGCUUAAAGCGUGUGUAGGCGGGCGGGCAAGUACCUUGUGAAAUCCCACGGCUCAACCGUGGAACGGCUGGGUAUACUGCCUGUCUUGAGCCAACUAGGGGCGAGCGGAACAGACGGUGGAGCGGUGAAAUGCGUAGAUAUCGUCUGGAACACCAAAGGUGAAAACAGCUCGCUGGGGUUGUGCUGACGCUGAGACACGAAAGCCAGGGGAGCGAACGGG
rnacentral:rRNA from 1 species